rnacentral:rRNA from 1 species
ACCUCACUUGUGGGGGGAUUAGUGGCGAACGGGUGAGUAACACGUGAGUAACCUGCCCUUAACUCUGGGAUAAGCCUGGGAAACUGGGUCUAAUACCGGAUAUGACUCCUCAUCGCAUGGUGGGGGGUGGAAAGCUUUUUGUGGUUUUGGAUGGACUCGCGGCCUAUCAGCUUGUUGGUGAGGUAAUGGCUUACCAAGGCGACGACGGGUAGCCGGCCUGAGAGGGUGACCGGCCACACUGGGACUGAGACACGGCCCAGACUCCUACGGGAGGCAGCAGUGGGGAAUAUUGCACAAUGGGCGCAAGCCUGAUGCAGCGACGCCGCGUGAGGGAUGACGGCCUUCGGGUUGUAAACCUCUUUCAGUAGGGAAGAAGCGAAAGUGACGGUACCUGCAGAAGAAGCGCCGGCUAACUACGUGCCAGCAGCCGCGGUAAUACGUAGGGCGCAAGCGUUAUCCGGAAUUAUUGGGCGUAAAGAGCUCGUAGGCGGUUUGUCGCGUCUGCCGUGAAAGUCCGGGGCUCAACUCCGGAUCUGCGGUGGGUACGGGCAGACUAGAGUGAUGUAGGGGAGACUGGAAUUCCUGGUGUAGCGGUGAAAUGCGCAGAUAUCAGGA